GGAUUAUUGUCCUCGCAUAAAUUUUCACACCCUUAAUUAUAAUUUAAUCUUGUAUCUUAUGUCCCAAAUCAAAUGUUUAACUUUUGUCCUCUCCAUUCCAAGCCAAUAAAUUAAAUUUAUUUAAAAGGUAAUCGGUCGAUCAAGUACGCUAUAAAUCUAAGAAUAUAAGAACAAAUAACCCUUAAUUGAAUAUAAUUAAAGAUCCAUCCAUAACAAACUCACCUACUCUAAACUCUAGAAUAAAUAAGUCUACUCAAGUUCAUAAAUGUUAAACAAAUAAAAAUAAAGGAAAAAACAUAAAUAAAAAAACAAAAACCAAAGGACAAAACUUUGAGUCAUGAACUUCAAUCUUUAAUUUCCAUAUACCUCCAAUUCGUCCAAACAUCAAGAAAG
rnacentral:lncRNA from 1 species